GAUGAACGCUAGCGGCAGGCUUAACACAUGCAAGUCGAACGGCAGCACAGGUAGCAAUACUGGGUGGCGAGUGGCGCACGGGUGCGUAACACGUAGGUAAUCAACCCUCUGGUUGGGGAUAACACUUCGAAAGGAGUGCUAAUACCCGGUAUGGCGCAGCGGUCUUCGGAUCGCGGCGAGAAAGACCCGCAAGGGUUGCCAGAGGACGAGCCUGCGGCCCAUCAGCUAGUUGGCGAGGUAACGGCUCACCAAGGCGAAGACGGGUAGCUGGUCUGAGAGGAUGAUCAGCCACACUGGAACUGAGACACGGUCCAGACUCCUACGGAGGCAGCAGUGGGGAAUAUUGCCGNAUGGCGAAGCUGACGCAGCCACGCCGCGUGAGCGAUGAA
rnacentral:rRNA from 1 species